UUCAAGUCUAAAAUUGAUGGCUGCAUCAACAAAGCCUUGUAGCUCUCUUCUCACUCUUGCAGCUACCAAUAGCUAGCGUUCUAGUGCAGAGCUAACUGCUAAGUAGAGUAGCAACACUCGGUGAACAAGUUUUGCUGAGCACUCUUGAAAAGGCUGCAAUGGCAUUCCAAGUAAGCAAAACUAGGCAUAACUCGAGAACAAAGCAUUAUUUUGCAAAUCCCUGAAUUAAAAUCCAAGAAAACAUAACUAGAAGCCUAUAAAAACUCUUACUUGCACUUCAUUAAUCCUUGAGCAGCUGUAGCAGUCUACACAGACAGACAGACAGACAGACAUGCAGACACACAAACACCGUAUACCUCGCUGCGCAUGCACACCGAGGUAUAAUUAUGCUGACAUAGCAAUAAUUGCCUUCGUGUGUUUUGGCAAACAGCUACACACACCACGUGGAUAAAUGCGCAUGCUCAAUAGUAUUGCCAAUAUCCAUAUAGCGGGUAUAUUUCGAAGGUAUAAAUUUUCGCGGAUUUAAUUUUCGUGGAAUAACAGCCUUUUUGCAGCAUGCAUGCAUGCGAUAUUAAAUUUGCAAUUAAUUAGGCCCUGAUAAAAUUAAUUAUGCUUUUUUCACCCAUUAUUCUAUUCUUUAAUUCUUGAAAAAUGUGCCUAUUAUUCUAAUCCGAUUAUUCUCUGAUUAUUCUCAUAAAAAUGUAUCCUAAAAAAUGUGACAUAUAAUCAGUAGACUCUCGUUAAUCCGGUCACCCUUGGGACCAUGCAGCUUGGCCGGAAUAGCGAGGUGGCUGUAUCUCAGGAAAUAGCCGCGGCUUAAAAACGACCCUACCUCGAAUCUAAUGACUAAUUUUGCGGUUCUUGUCUCGAGGAUAAUGUUAUCUAUUUAAGUGUAAUCCAAUUUUAUUUGCUAAACCACGGUAAACGGAAUAGCGAGUGGCCGUACUUCAGGGUGAGUUUUGUGCAGUAAACAUAUAGCUAUAUAGCAUUCCGUGCCAAGCCAAAUGGCCGGUAUAUCGAGGUGGCCGUACUUCAGAGAGCCGGAAUAGCGAGAGUCUACUGUAGACAUAAACACAACACACGACUGACACAUGACAUAUUAAUUAAUAUAUCAUGGUUCUCAGUGUUAUCUUGCUGACUUGAACCAGGAGCCCAUAAAGAGAAGGAGCGGCUAACUACGGGGAUCACAUCUCGUAAUUGGUUAUGACCGCAUUUCCAUAUAUGCAGGGUCACUAAGUGGUUGAAUCCCUACACGUGUUAUACGCAAUGCAGGGAUGCGGUUUGCAAGCACUUAGUCGCUUCCAUACAAGGAAGUGCGAUUUCACCGGCAAUUACGAGACGUGAUCCCCGAGUGUACGUUGAAGUUAGCCGCUCCUUCUCUUUAUGGGCUCCUGCUUGAACUGAUCCACUAGAACAUCAUUAUGCAAAACUUAAUGUAAUGAUCUUUACCAAAAAUGAACAUUGAUGCCUAUUAUUCUUUAGUGCUGAUCACAUGAUCUCCAGCCAAUCAGCUUAUCUGAAAGCAGUCAGGUAACCAUGGAUUAAAUAACUUAAUCCACACUUAAGUGUGCUUUAAGUUGGUUAAGUGUGCUUUAACCCUUUCCCGGCUUUAGCCGUCAUAUGACGGCAGCGGUAGUGAUAAUUUUCAAAAAAUCAUUGUGGGCGCUGUGUGGAGCUAUGCUCACGCUGUAGGUACCAGCACAUGCGCAUUGGGCUGCUCUUUCACAUGGUAUCUUUAAUAUCUUGCCUCGAGGUACGCUUCAUGCAGUACUGUCGAAAGAAAAGUGACCGUUUGAUAAUGGCUACAAGAUCUUUGUAGUACAACCUCAGCGAGGUUCUAGGGCAGCUAGACAGUGAGAAUAACGAUGCUUAUGGCCUUGUUGAGUAAGAGGACAGUGACUGGGAUCAUACCAAGAGAGGAAACUACUUUUCAGAGGUCAAGCUAUAAAUAUAGAGCCUGAAGAACCAGAGGAAGAAGCUCCUGAGCAUGAACCAAAGUCCUGGACCUUGUGAAGAAAACAUUUCCCGGGAAAAGAGCGUCUGCCGAUACGACCUCGCAGAGAAGUUUCUGCUGAUCCUGAUUGAACCAUGUCACCGUGAGAACAUUGAGAACACUUAUUUAGUGUCUUUAGUUACUUCAUGCCUUCAUACAAUAUUCAUAAUUGUGAAAUGUGUAAAAAAAUCGUUAAUUAGUGGGGGGUGGUCAGUUGCUAGGUAACGAUGAUGAUGUCAUGGUACCCCCAGGAUAUGGGCUACCUGUAGGAAAUAGUUGCAAGUGAUUACAAUGCAUAGUUUACAAUGCAUAGUUCAUGAGAUAUGUAUUUUUAAAGAAAAAUGUGUAUUUAUUCUGUAUUUAAGUUUUUUUAAUUAAAGCCGGGAAAGGGUUAAGUAGGUUUGUUAAUGCACACUUUUUAUCAAACAACCAUAAUACAAGCAGAUUGAAUCUGAAUGUCAUCAUAAUUAUAAUAAUAAUACAAGCAGAUUGAAUACGUACACAGCAAAGCUGAAAAGUAUUAGAAAGUUGAAUGUUAUCGUUUCGACUUGUUUCAUGUGUAGUAAGUGUACCGAAUUGCUGACUUGACCAUAGCAUCGCUUUUUCAUCUGGAGAAAUAGACUCAGCUUGCUUCGAAGAUGUACGUACCUGUACCUAAGCCAGAUCCAUAUAAUCGUUUCAUCAAAGGUGCUUCGAAUAUCAUAGCGUUCCAAAAGAGCAAACCAGAUACUCAUUGGCAUAUAGUUUGCGCACAAAGUUUCCCAUCCAGUAAGCCAGAUCAGCUGGAGGCAUAUCCAGUAGUGGGAUCGGGACUGCACUGUUGGUCAGCAGGAGAAAUAAGUCGAGAACAUGCCCAGUCAGUCCAGAUAGCUUUAGAUAGUAUCUCCUUCUCCUUUGCAUCAGUUACUGGAUCUACAAACCUACUAAAACUUGCUAUUACGCCUAGCUAGCUAGCUAGCCACCAGCAACUGAUUUAAAAUGUAGCUAGAUCUAGCUGCCACGAGGCUAGAGCUCACGUGACAGCACUAAAUCCUUUAGAACACACCUAGCCAAGUCACGUGUUUUAAUCUGGUGCACUCGGAUGGCCUCUCGGUUACGUAAUGCACUCGGCUGCGCCUCGAGCACCACGUUAACCUCGAGGCCAUCCUCGGCACGCAGAUUAAAACACUUAAUCUUGGCUAGGUGUGUUCUAAAUAAUACUUAGACACCUAUUAUAUGCUAAAAUUAUUCCGAGCAUAAUUUAUCAGGGCCUAUGCUUAAUCCGUGAAAACCACAAACAUUUAUACCCUCGAAAUAUA